rnacentral:rRNA from 1 species
UACGGAGGAUGCGAGCGUUAUCCGGAUUUAUUGGGUUUAAAGGGUGCGUAGGCGGCCUUGUAAGUCAGCGGUGAAAUUUUGCAGCUUAACUGUAACAGUGCCGUUGAUACUGGGGAGCUAGGAUUUGGUUGCUGUGGGUGGAAUGUGUGGUGUAGCGGUGAAAUGCUUAGAGAUCACACAGAAUAUCGAUUGCGAAGGCAGCUCACAAAGCCAAGAUUGACGCUGAGGCACGAAAGUGUGGGGAUCAAACAGGAUUA